rnacentral:rRNA from 1 species
ACAGCCCCGUACACAAAAGCGCAUGUGUUGUGAGCUCGAUGAGUAGGGCGGGACACGUGGUAUCCUGUCUGAAUAUGGGGGGACCAUCCUCCAAGGCUAAAUACUCCUGACUGACCGAUAGUGAACCAGUACCGUGAGGGAAAGGCGAAAAGAACCCCGGCGAGGGGAGUGAAAAAGAACCUGAAACCGUGUACGUACAAGCAGUGGGAGCACCCUUCGGGGUGUGACUGCGUACCUUUUGUAUAAUGGGUCAGCGACUUAUAUUCUGUAGCAAGGUUAACCGAAUAGGGGAGCCGGAGGGAAACCGAGUCUUAAUUGGGCGUUAAGUUGCAGGGUAUAGACCCGAAACCCGGUGAUCUAGCCAUGGGCAGGUUGAAGGUUGGGUAACACUAACUGGAGGACCGAACCGACUAAUGUUGAAAAAUUAGCGGAUGACCUGUGGCUGGGGGUGAAAGGCCAAUCAAACCGGGAGAUAGCUGGUUCUCCCCGAAAGCUAUUUAGGUAGCGCCUCGUGAAUUCAUCUCCGGGGGUAGAGCACUGUUUCGGCUAGGGGGCCAUCCCGGCUUACCAACCCGAUGCA